rnacentral:rRNA from 1 species
CGGUAAGGCUAAAUACUAGUCAGUGACCGAUAGUGAACGAGUACAGUGAUGGAAAGGCGAAAAGAACAGUGAGAAGCUGAGUGAAAUAGAUCCUGAAACCGUUAGCUUACAACCAGUCAGAGCACUAUCAAUAGUGUGAUGGCGUGCCUGUUGAAGAAUGAGCCGGCGAGUUAUCUUAUGUUGCAAGGUUAAGAAGUUAACAUUCGGAGCCACAGCGAAAGCGAGUUUGAAUAGAGCGUUAAGUAACAUGAGAUAGACCCGAACCCUGGUGAUCUAACCAUGUCCAGGAUGAAGCGUAGGUAACACUACGUGGAGGUCCGAACCAACCGAUGUUGAAAAAUCGGUGGAUGAGGUGUGGUUAGGGGUGAAAUGCCAAUCGAACUAGGAGCUAGCUGGUUCUCCCCGAAAUGCGUUUAGGCACAGCGUUAGAUUUAUCUUACAGGAGGUAGAGCACUGGUUUUGUGCGGGCGGCGAAAUGUCGUACCAAAUGAUGUCAAACUCCGAAUGCCUGUAAUGUUACUAUCUAGCAGUGAGACUACGAGUGCUAAGAUCCGUGGUCAAGAGGAAAACAGUCCAGAACGCCAGUUAAGGUCCCUAAUAUAUGCUAAGUGGUUAAGGAGGUAGAGAUGCUGCGACAACCAGGAGGUUGGCUUAGAAGCAGCCAUCCCUUGAAAGAGUGCGUAAUAGCUCACUGGUCAAGCGUCUCCGCGCCGAAAAUACACCGGGACUCAAGCAUAUAACCGAAGCUGCGUGAUUAAAGUUUACUUUAAUCGGUAGGGGAGCGUUCUGUUGUAGGUUGAAGUCAGAUCGUAAGGACUGAUGGACGAAGCAGAAGUGAGAAUGUCGGCAUAAGUAGCGAAAACAUUGGUGAGAAUCCAAUGCACCGUAAACCUAAGGUUUCCCCUGGCAGGCUCGUCCGCGGGGGGUUAGUCGGAACCUAAGACGAGGCCCAAAGGCGUAGUCGAUGGACAUCAGGUUGAUAUUCCUGAACUAUCUGGUAAUCGUUAUCAGAUGCGGAGGGACGCAGGAGGAUAGGCACGCAGCCGAUUGGAAGUGGCUGUUUAAGCGUGUAGGUAGAAAUAGCAGGAAAAUCCACUAUUUCGUUAUAAACUGAGGCGUUAUGAGGAGAGUCUACGGACUCGAAGGUGUUGACUCCACACUGCCAAGAAAAUCUUCGCAAUCGAGAUUAUCCGGUAUCCGUACCGUAAACCGCCACAGGUAGGUUGGUAGAAAAUACCAAGGUGCGCGAGACAACUCUCGCUAAGGAACUCUGCAAAAUCACCUCGUAACUUCGGGAGAAGAGGUACCCUGGUAGUGUGUAAGCCCUUGCGGCUGAAGCAUGAUAGGGUCGCAGUGAAUAGGCCCAAGCGACUGUUUACCAAAAACACAGGUCUCUGCUAAGUCGAUUAAGACGAUGUAUAGGGGCUGACGCCUGCCCGGUGUCGGAAGGUUACGCGGAAGAGUUAGACCUCGGUCGAAGCCCUGAAGCUAAGCCCCGAUGAACGGCGGCCGUAACUAUAACGGUCCUAAGGUAGCGAAAUUCCUUGUCAGGUAAGUUCUGACCCGCACGAAUGGCGUAACGAUUUGGGCG